AUUGAACGCUGGCGGCAGGCCUAACACAUGCAAGUCGAGCGGAUGAGAGGAGCUUGCUUCUCGAUUCAGCGGCGGACGGGUGAGUAAUGCCUAGGAAUCUGCCUGGUAGUGGGGGACAACGUUUCGAAAGGAACGCUAAUACCGCAUACGUCCUACGGGAGAAAGCAGGGGACCCUCGGGCCUUGCGCUAUCAGAUGAGCCUAGGUCGGAUUAGCUAGUUGGUGAGGUAAUGGCUCACCAAGGCGACGAUCCGUAACUGGUCUGAGAGGAUGAUCAGUCACACUGGAACUGAGACACGGUCCAGACUCCUGCGGGAGGCAGCAGUGGGGAAUAUUGGACAAUGGGCGAAAGCCUGAUCCAGCCAUGCCGCGUGUGUGAAGAAGGUCUUCAGAUUGUAAAGCACUUUAAGUUGGGAGGAAGGGCAGUAAGUUAAUACCUUGCUGUUUUGACGUUACCGACAGAAUAAGCACCGGCUAACUUCGUGCCAGCCGCCGCCGUAAAAC
rnacentral:rRNA from 1 species